GCGCAGAGCGGCGCUGACGGCAGGGCGGGGGCCGGCAAAGAAUGAGGGGGCGCGGCCCCCUGCCCGCGCCGGCUGCCGGGGGUCCCGCCUGGGCCCGAGCCCUGGCAGCGCUUCGGCGGACGGGCCUUGCGCUCCCGGGCCAGCCGGGGGAGUUCGGGGUCCGGUGCGGGUCGGGAGCGGAGGGGUUAAUUCCCCCCCCCACCCCUGAUCCGAAGGGGGCAGUUCACACCCUGGGGCGGAGCCGAGGUUCGGGGGCUGGGGGAGCUGGCAAGGCCCCUGGGGUCGGAUAAGCGCGGUUGGGAGUGACUCAGGGCCCGCACGGAGCAGCCUCCUAUGAGCAAAGCUUGUGCUUCUGAAACGUGCCAGAUAGACUGUGUCUGAGUGCCCUUCUCCUAGGUUUCCCCACAAAGCAGUCCUCAUGCACUGUGAUGCAAUUAGUGGAUUCACAGAAUAUGGCUGAGCUGCAAACAACAAAUUGAUACUGAAAUGGUACAAGUUUAAUGCCUGAUGAGGGCCCCUGACGUGGGAAAAGAUUGUGGGAAAAGUGGGGGUGCUGACAAGAAAUGGGGACUGUCCAAGGUAGCUAGGGAGAGGAUGCACUGAUUCAGCACAUACCCUCAUCAGCCUCUUUUGGUGUGGCUUCUGCAGAGAAGCUUCAUACACUAACUCAAGCCAUGUCUACUCUACAAACUUUGGCCCUGUCUACACUGGCAAGUUUGUGCACAGUAAAGCAGCUUUCGGCGCUAUAACUCCCAAGGUGUACAUACUGCCAAGCCACCUAGUGUGCAGAAACUGCUCAGUGGUAGCGCUUUUAAAAAAAACCCACCCCACCAAGAGGCGUACAGCUUUCUACACUGGGGCGCCAGUGUAGACACCGUGGCGAUUACAGCGCUGCAAUUGGUCUCCGGGAGGUGUCCCACAGUGCCUGUUUUCACCUCUCUGGUCAUUGCUUUGAACUCUACUGCCGUGCCCUCAGGUGACCAACCAUCAUACCCACCCCAUAAAUUCCUUUAGAAAUUUGAAAGUCCCCUUCCUGUUUGCUCGGUGAUGCGUGCAGUGGUCUCAGCGCAUCUUUCCAGGUGGCCAGGCCUGCUCCACGCACCAGGCGAUCCCCCGCUUGGAGCAAUGCUGAGCUGCUAGACCUCACCAGCAUCUGGGGAGAGGAGGCUGUCCAGUCCCAACUGUGCUCCAGCUGUAGGAAUUAUAGUAUCUACAGACAGAUUUCACAAUGCAUGACAGAAAGGGGCAUGACCGGGACACAUUGUAGUGCAGGGUCAAAGUGAAGGAGCUACGGAAUACCUACCACAAGGCCCGGGAGGCAAACCGCCACUCCGGUGCUGUGCCCACCAGCUGCCAGUUCUAGUAUGGCUUCAUAAGCCAUGGCAUUAAGGGGUAGGUGGGGUCUCCCAGGAUCACAAUGGGCAUUUUGACUUCCCCUACAGUGAUCUUCUGGUCCAGGAAGAAAGACCCUGCUGGCAGCUUCCUGAACAGGCCAGUGUUUUGAAAGAUGUGUGCGUCAUGCACCUUUCCCGACCAGCCUGCGUUAAUGUCUGUGAAACGCCCACAGUGAUAUACAAGAGCCUGGAAAACCAUUCAGAAAUACCCCUUGCAAUUAAUGUAUUUGGUGGCUAGGUGGUCUGGUGCCAGAAUUGGAACAUGUGUGCCAUCUAUCACCCCUCCGCAGUUAGGGAAGCCAAUUUGUGCAAAGCCAGCCACAAUGUCAUGCACGUUGCCAAGAGUCAUGGUCUUUUGGAGCAGGAUGCGAUUAAUAGCCCUGUACACUUCCAUUAACACGAGUCCAACAGUUGACUUUCCCACUCCAAACUGGUUAGCAACCGAUCAGUAGCAGUCCGAAGUAGCCAGCUUCCACAGUGCAAUCACCAUGUGCUUCUCCAGUGACAGGGCAGCUCUCAUUCUCGUGUCCUUGCGCUGCAGGGCUGGGGCGAGCUCAUCACACAGUCCCAGGAAUGUGGCUCUCCUCAUCCGAAAGUUCUGCAGCCACUGCUCGUCAUCCCAGAUGUGCACAACAAUGUGAUCCCACCACUCAGUGCUUGUUUCCCGAGCCCAAAAGCGGCAUUCCACUGUGGUCAGCACCUCCAUGAAUGCCACAAACAAUCUCGUGUCAGAGCUACUACACGUGGCGAGAUCAAUGUCACAUUCCUCUUUCCUUUGUAGUUUAAGGAAUAACUCCACUGCCACUCGUGACAUGCUGGUCAGAGCAAGCAGCAUACUGAUCAACAGUUUGGGAUCCAUUCCCUCAGUCCGAAGGAAUGCGGCAUGGCGCGCAAUACGCAAACCGUUGAAAGAUGGCAUCAAAUGCAGACAGAAGCACGGGGAUUUCUGGGAUGCGAAGCAAUGCAUCAUGGGGCAUUGGGACAGGACCCAGGAUUCCCCGCGACCCCCCCUCCGCCUUCCCACAAGUCUUAGCGGCAGAAGAGAAAAAGGUGCUCUGUGGAAUAGCUGCCCAGAGUGCACCGCUCCAAAUACCGUUGCAGGUGCCGCAAGUGUGAACAAGCUAUUGCACAUUCAGCUGUCAGUGUGGACAUACAACAGCAGUUUCCCUUCAGCGCUCUCUGAGUGGUGCUGUAACUGCCGGUGCUGUAACUUUGCCAGUGUAGACGUGCCCUUUGAUUGAAGCAGGUAUCCGUGUACAGCUGCUCUCCUCGGGGAAUUUCUUUUUCUUAUGGUGUAUCCCACUGCAGCACAAAAGGCUUUGCCAGUGCUGGAAGAUAAAAGUACAGUACAUUUCUCUGAACUAACUUCAGCUAUUCAGGCCCAAAUUGCAACAGCUUUUAGCCUGUAGGUUAAUUUCAGUUGUUUUGGUUAAGCCAGUAUAAGGUUCUGUGACAGGGUGCAUAGUGAGUCCUCAGUGUGCAAAGGGUUAAUUCCAGCAACACUUUCCCUUCACCUUGCCUCAGGUGCUCAGGGGAAGGUAUAUAAAAGAGUUCCUGUUUGAAAGAUAGAAUAUGGAGAAUGCUUUUAGGAAAAUUAAGCUCUGGGGCAAGGUCAUUUAGGACUAAGUUAAACCCUAGCCUGGGACAUUUUCUGUUUUUUUGGAGAGGUUAAAAAUAUUGUUAGCUCAUUUUGAUUUCUUGUUAUAAACAUUAUUUUUACUGAAGAUACUUUGCUGAUUUGAUUGUAUUUGUUUCCCGCUGAGUCAUUCCCCAGGCUUCUGUUGAUAUAUUAGAAAGUUGUUGGUUUUUUUCCAAUAAAAGUUAUUUAAAAGAAAGAAAAAAAAUUCCCCUUUUUGUCUCUGACUGUAUCAGGUUGGCAGGAUAAUCUUAAAGGCGGUUGAAGAAAUGACAGGAUAGAGUAAAAAGUUGGAAGGAAAGAUUUGGCAAACACAUUCAUGGGCUGUUCAAAUGAAUGAAGUAGUCCCACAAGCUAAGACCAUGUCUACAUUUACAAGCUUGCCAAGACAUAGCUGUAUCGGUACAGCUGUACCACUGUAAGAUCACUCGUGUAGC